rnacentral:sRNA from 1 species
GUGGUCAAAGCAUAUGUGUAUUUUAUA